rnacentral:rRNA from 1 species
GUAAGAGUUUGAUCCUGGCUCAGGAUGAACGCUGGCGGUAUGCUUAACACAUGCAAGUCGAACGGGAUAUUUUGGUAUUUAGUGGCGGACGGGUGAGUAACGCGUGAGAAUCUGGCUUCAGGUUGGGGACAACAGCGGGAAACUGCUGCUAAUACCGGAUGUGCCGAAAGGUGAAAGAUUAAUUGCCUGAAGAUGAGCUCGCGUCUGAUUAGCUAGUUGGUGGGGUAAGAGCCCACCAAGGCGACGAUCAGUAACUGGUCUGAGAGGAUGACCAGUCACACUGGGACUGAGACACGGCCCACACUCCUACGGGAGGCAGCAGUGGGGAAUUUUCCGCAAUGGGCGAAAGCCUGACGGAGCAAUACCGCGUGAGGGAGGAAGGCCCCUUG